CAGUCAAGUGCCUAUUAGAUAUGAGGGAAAAGGCCCUGUUGGAAGGCUGCAGGCCUGCCGUUUUUGUCUCAGUAGAGAAUAAACUCCUGGGACAUUUCAUCUUUGGAUACUACAGAGCCUGAUAUUAAUUGCAUGUUGGGAGAACUGUGUCCCUGGGAUCUUUUUGGAUUCAGUGUCCUGCGUCCUUGCCAGUGUCUCCUGAUUUGCUGAUCUUCAGUGAUCUCCAAUCUCAAAUAACAGCCCCGACAACCAAUACAUGAGCCUUAGACACUGAGUUGUCACUUGAAGAUUCAACUACCUCUUCAUUCAACACACAAGACCAGAGAGCUAACUCCCUUCCCUAACACCACACACCAAAGAAGAGAAGGAGAACUUUGCAAAUCAGGACUAUCAUAGAUGAAUCCAGCUUAUAGGCCAGAAGGUAAACUAGAUGACUAAACAUGAGGUGUGCUGCAUAAUGCUUGCAUAAGAAUAUCUUUGCUGAAUAAACUGCAUGAGUUUACGUCAUCA